GCGGCGGCGAGGGGAGGGAGGCGGGCGGGAGGGGCGGGAGGGAGGUCUCUCCGGCCUGCCUCCCCGGGCGUGUGUAUGUGUGUGUGUGUGUGUGUGUGUGUGUGUGUGUGUCUGAUCAGAUGUCUGUUUCAAGGCGGGAAACAGCUGGUGAAAACUCAGCACUCCCCCGGCCUCCUUCCGCGGAGUAAGGAAUUGCAUGUAAACAAAGGACUAUUUGCAGCGCCCCCCAGGGCGGCGCGAGGCCCGGGCGAGAGGGGCGCUGGCCCCCGCGGGCGAGUGGUAGCCAGGGUCUGCGCGCCUCCCCACGAGUUCCGGGUGCGGGGGCCGCGGGCGGGCUUGAAGGGCGCGGCGUGAAUGGAGCGAGCUGCGGCCGAGCUACAUGCGCCACUAUGGGUGAUGAGGUCCAUCAGCUGACAGGUUGGCAAGCGUAGCAAAAAAAAAAAAAAAAAAAAAGCCAGCCACAGCGAGGAAACCCAGUCCGCGCGCCCGGGGUCCGGCGGGGACUGCUCCGUGCAGGGUCUGCGCGCUUGGCGGCCGUCGGGGGGCGGGGGUGCGCAGCUGGGCCCGGCGAAGGCGAAGGCGGCCUGAGGUGCUGCUCCGGGCUUUUUUCUUCUUCGGUUGCAACUGCACAGAGAGGAGCUGCUCUGGCGCGCUCCCUCCGAGCCCAGGGCCCCCUGGAAACUUGCGUCAUAGCCACCACUUCCCACAUGUAACUUGGGGCCGACUUCAGAGGCCGGCCAGCCCCCUCCCUCACUCGCUCCCUGCCUAGCUGCCCGCCACUGCCCGCCCAGCCUGGGUUCCGGAGCCUGGGAAUCCCGGAGCCGGGGAGGGGAGGGCAAAGGGGGGCGCGCCGGGCGCCUCGAAUCCCAGGGCUGCCUUAGGAAGCAGGGGCCCCAGCGGGGAGGGAAGGGUGGAGGCGGGCCAGGACAGCAGCGGCCCCGGAGGCGGGCUGCCAGCGCGGCUGGGAGGUUUGGUGGAUGCUGCCGGGUCGCCUCCUAUGCCCCCUCGCUUUACCCCUCCUCUGGGAGGCUGGACAGCAGGCGGCACGCCCUAGCUUGGCCCGGGCAGGCGAAGGCUGCAUCUUCCCAUUCAGGGCGAAGCCAGUGCGAGACUUGCUCCCCCGCCAGGGUGCGCUCUCUACUAGGGGUGAAGGCCUGGAGCGGGUAAGGGAGGGACGCCUUGGCGGCGAGUUCCGUCCGCCCUUCCCGCGUCCCCUCCCCUGGCUCCUGGAGGUUGGCCCCUGGCUCAGGAAGACCGCGCUUGCCUUGGAAUGUCCUCCCUCCUACCCACCGCCUUUCCCAAUCCCAUCCGCCUUCCAGGUUCCGCCCAAAUCGCGCCUCCUAAUUGAAAUACUGCUACUUAUAACAAGGAUUACUGUUAUUAUUAGGAAAUGUUAUGGUUAUUAGAUAUUCGGAGCACCUUGUAGAUGUCUGGCAGUUUUGCGUGAAUAUUUUCCAAUCCUUAAAGUAAGCUGUCAGGCUGCUUCUGUAAGUACAGGUCCCGGACCGUGUAACAUCACAGUCCCUGGGAGGCUUCACUGUUGGGACAGGAAGGAUGACAUCUGGGGACAACAUAGGAUACAGAGCCACAUAACUGUGUACACUGAGCAGCGUCCACAGUGCCUGGGUGAAUGAAUGAACGAGAGCUGGGAGAAGCGUGUCCACCCUUUGCUCUGUCUUCUACAGAAAUGCCUUGACCCAGCCUGAGCCCAGUUCCUGCGAGCACACUGUCACUCAGACUGGCCUCCCCAUUUCUGCCAAAGGCGUCUUCUCAUCUACAGCCCUCUGCUGUCUCAGAUGCACCAACCCACACACCCCUGGCUCAGCUGCUCCUGCCCCAAGGCCUGAAAUAUCAUCACUGCUCCCACCGCCCCACUCCAACACUCUCCCACCGCUAACCCACUUCACGGCAGUAGCACCAGAAGUCCCCAGACUCCAGGCCGUUUUCCAUUCCCAGGAGGCUCUGUACACCCCUUAGUCUGAUCCCUUCCCAACUCCUAAUUCAGUCCACUGUGCCCUCUGGAGCCCUCAAAGGGUGUUCAGCAAAAUCCCCUUUAUCCUUGGUACCUGACUUUACCCCUCACCUUCUUGCUCUAAGUUAGGUGUCAGCAAACUUUUUCUAUAAAGGGCGUGUAAAAGUUAUUUGCAUGUGGAAUCUAAAAUAUGACACAAGUGACCAUAUCUAAGAAACAGAAACACACAGACAUAGAGAGCAGACCUGUGGUUGCCAAAGGAGCAGGGGUGGGGAAGGAAGGACUGAGAGUUUGGGAUUAGGAGAUGCAAACUAUUAUAUAUAGGAUGGAUAAACGACAAGGUCCUACUGUAUAGCACAGGGAACUAUAUUCAAUAUCCUGUGAUAAACCAUAAUGGAAAAGAAUAUGAAAUAUAUAUAUAUAACUGAAUCACUUUGCUGUACAGCAAAAAUUAACUCAUUGUAAAUCAACUGUACUUCAAUAAAAUUUUUUUUUAAA